CACCUUCUGGCAUAUAUAAAGGCUUUGAAUAUGCACAGCAUUUAUAAAUACCUCUUGCAUUGCCUUGUAAAGAAAUGUGUAUGCUUUGGUGCAUAUAGUAUAACAACUCGAUGAAAACCUUCAAGAGCUGAUGUUUGUUUCUCAUGGCUGAGCUUCCCAAUAUCUUUCAUGAGAUACCUGCUUUCAACAAUCGAUGCCAAUUCAGUAAAUGCUCUAGAUCCUUGGAAAA